CAGCCGCCGCGGUAAAACCAGCACCUCAAGUGGUCAGGAUGAUUAUUGGGCCUAAAGCAUCCGUAGCCCGUUUUGUAAGUUUUCGGUUAAAUCCAUGCGCUUAACGUAUGGGCUGCCGGGAAUACUGCAUAACUAGGAAGUGGGAGAGGUAGACGGUACUCGGUAGGAAGGGGUAAAAUCCUUUGAUCUAUUGAUGACCACCUGUGGCGAAGGCGGUCUACCAGAACACGUUCGACGGUGAGGGAUGAAAGCUGGGGGAGCAAACCGGAUUAGAUACCCGGGUAGUCCCAGCUGUAAACUAUGCAAACUCAGUGAUGCAUUGGCUUAUGGCCAAUGCAGUGCUGCAGGGAAGCCGUUAAGUUUGCCGCCUGGGAAGUACGUACGCAAGUAUGAAACUUAAAGGAAUUGGCGGGGGAGCACCA
rnacentral:rRNA from 1 species